rnacentral:rRNA from 1 species
UACGUAGGGGGCAAGCGUUGUCCGGAUUUAUUGGGCGUAAAGAGCGUGUAGGCGGCCUGAAAGGUCAGCUGUGAAAACUCGAGGCUCAACCUCGAGACGUCGGUUGAAACCAUCUGGCUAGAGUCCGGAAGAGGAGAGUGGAAUUCCUGGUGUAGCGGUGAAAUGCGCAGAUAUCAGGAGGAACACCGAUGGCGAAGGCAGCUCGCUGGGACGGUACUGACGCUGAGGCGCGAAAGCGUGGGAGCAAACAGG